CAGAUAUUAGUUUAAUUAAAAUAUUAAUUUUGGAGAUUAAUGAUAAGUAAGAUUAUUUAUAUCUGA
rnacentral:tRNA from 1 species